AUUGAACGCUGGCGGAAUGCUUUACACAUGCAAGUCGAGCGGCAGCGCGGCCUUCGGGCUGGCGGCGAGCGGCGAACGGGUGAGUAAUGCAUCGGAACAUGCCCAGUCGUGGGGGAUAACACUUCGAUAGAAGUGCUAAUACCGCAUACGUCCUGAGGGGGAAAGUGGGGGUUCGCAAGACCUCUCGCGAUUGGAGUGGCCGAUGUCAGUUUAGCUAGUUGGUGGGGUAAAGGCCUACCAAGGCGACGAUCUGUAGCUGGUCUGAGAGGAUGAUCAGCCACACUGUGACUGAGACACGGCCCAGACUCCUACGGGAGGCAGCAGUGGGGAAUUUUGGACAAUGGGGGCAACCCUGAUCCAGCCAUUCCGCGGGAGUGAAGAAGGCCUCCGGGUUGUAAAGCUCUUUAGGCAGGAACGAAACGGUGGGCUCUAACAUAGUCCGCUAAUGACGGUACCUGAAGAAGAAGCACCGGCUAACUACGUG
rnacentral:rRNA from 1 species